AUCUCGUGGACGGCCAGCUGGACCACCUGCUCCAGGACGGACUCGAGCUGGCCCUGGAAGAACGGAAUGUACACGGCUCCGUUCAUGCUAGCGGCUCAUGUCGAGGGCCGCCUCCUCCACCGCCGCCGCCUGGCCAAAUGUUCCAGAGCCCAUGUGGUGAUACCCUUCACACGUUGAUGUCGGUCUUUGAUGCAGUGCCGCCUGAGGGAUCGAAGGUCACGGGCAAUCUAUUUUGUUUUUUGGCCUUGACUGUGAUUUCUCCAGAUUCUCUGAACCUUUUGAUGAAAUUAUGGACCGUCAAUGAUGAAAUCCCUUUGUAUGUUGAGGGACAUUAACCUGAAACUGUUUGUCCAUUUUCUCAUGCAGUAGUUCACAAAGGUGAUCAUGACACCCACCUGUUCCUAGUUAGCCUGUUCACCUCUGGGAUUUUCAAACGGGUGUUUCAUGAGCAUUCCUAAACUUUUUUCCGUUUUUCCCAGCUUAUGUGGAACGUGUUGCAGCCAUAAAAUGUCAUCCAUCCAUCAAUUUUCAACACCGCUUGUCCUGAAGAGGGUCGCAGGGAGUUGCUGGAGUCUAUCCCAGGUGACCUUGGGCAGAAGGCAGACUACAGCCUGAAUUGGUCACCAGUCAGUCGCAGGGCACAUACAGGGACAAAUGACCAUUCACACCCACAUUCACUGAGUGGGAACUGAUAAUAUGCUGCCCGAACACAAGUUCCGGCGUGCGGGCCCCUCCACCAUCAGCGACAUGCCGCAUUUAAAAAAUAAUAAUGACCACUUGCUGAAACAAUAAAGUAUCAGUUUGAACAUUCAA